ACGCUGGCGGCGUGCCUAAUACAUGCAAGUCGAACGGACAAGUAAGAGCUUGCUCUUAUGAGUUAGUGGCGCACGGGUGAGUAAUGUAUAGCUAAUCUGCCCUACACUAGAGGACAACAGUUGGAAACGACUGCUAAUACUCUAUACUCCUCUCUAGCAUAAGUUAGAUAGGGAAAGUUUUUCGGUGUAGGAUGAGGCUAUAUUGUAUCAGCUAGUUGGUGAGGUAAUGGCUCACCAAGGCUAUGACGCAUAACUGGUCUGAGAGGAUGAUCAGUCACACUGGAACUGAGACACGGUCCAGACUCCUACGGGAGGCAGCAGUAGGGAAUAUUGCUCAAUGGGGGAAACCCUGAAGCAGCAACGCCGCGUGGAGGAUGACACUUUUCGGAGCGUAAACUCCUUUUGUUAGGGAAGAACAAUGACGGUACCUAACGAAUAAGCACCGGCUAACUCCGUGCCAGCGGCCGCGGUAAUACGGAGGGUGCAAGCGUUACUCGGAAUCACUGGGCGUAAAGGACGCGUAGGCGGAUUAUCAAGUCUCUUGUGAAAUCCUAUGGCUUAACCAUAGAACUGCUUGGGAAACUGAUAAUCUAGAGUGAGGGAGAGGCAGAUGGAAUUGGUGGUGUAGGGGUAAAAUCCGUAGAGAUCACCAGGAAUACCCAUUGCGAAGGCGAUCUGCUGGAACUCAACUGACGCUAAUGCGUGAAAGCGUGGGGAGCAAACAGGAUUAGAUACCCUGGUAGUCCACGCCCUAAACGAUGUAUACUAGUUGUUGCUAAGCUAGUCUUGGCAGUAAUGCACCUAACGGAUUAAGUAUACCGCCUGGGGAGUACGGUCGCAAGAUUAAAACUCAAAGGAAUAGACGGGGACCCGCACAAGCGGUGGAGCAUGCGGUUUAAUUCGAAGAUACGCGAAGAACCUU
rnacentral:rRNA from 1 species